UUUAAUCAUCUCUAAUCCAUCUCAUCACACACACUAGUGUAUAUAUAUAAAUACUCUUCAAUUACGACAUUCAAAAUCGUCCCGCUAAACAAAAGCGAAAUGAAAAAGCGCCAAACUCCAUAGAAGCACCAGACUCGUCCAUCAGAGAUCGCGAAUCGGAGAUCCAAGCACUCAUUGUCAAAGCAGUUCCAAAAUGCACAAUUUCAAAUCCCUAAAUUUUCUCACCUAUGCUGGUUCACCUCCGUCGCAAUUCGAAUUCAAUUUCUCACUCGCUCUUCUUCUUGUUCUAGAUCUUGAAGAAAAAGCUUGAAUUCUGCAUUCACAUCCGUUUCCGAAGAUGCUGGUGAAUCUUUGAGAGUACUCGGUGGAUUCAUCUUCGAUUUCUGAGAUCUCUGGCUCUAAUCACAAUGGAGAAAUCGACAAAAGUCUUGAACUCAGUGGAUACAGAUCAUUAAUCUAAGAAGCUUCUGGAUGCACUGAUUAAUCUAACAAGCACAAGAGGUACAAGAGGUUGUCAUUGCCUCUUUUUGACAGAUGGAAGAUAAUAUUGAACGAAUAUUUGGGCUACUUCAAGGUAGCCUGACUUGAGUCCUCCGGCACAAGAGGUUAAGUUGUUUUCAAUUGAUUGAGCUUUCUUGAUUUAAUACAGCUUUUUCAAUGUUCACAUAAUAUUUACAUACAAAAAAUAAAAACUAAUCCUAAAAGAAAGAAACAAAUAACAACAGAAAUUUAACUCAAACUCAACGUCUAAUUUUUUUUCCAUUUAAAAAAGUAAAGGCUCCAGCUGUCCGGAGGAAUUUUUUCACACAUAACAUCUCCCUUCCCCUUUAAAUACAUCCCUUGUCCUCUAGGAAAAAAAAACUCUGGAUAUCUUUGUUAGGCCUAUUCAGCAUCUUCCCAUGUGGCAUAUGUAGGAGACAAUCCGUGCCGAUAAAUUUGAAUUUCAACCUUCUUUCCUUUGGUCUUCAAUCCAGCAUUGCUUGGGGUCAUGGGACUAACCUUCCCUGCUCUAAUCUAGGGCAACUGUGAUUGAGAAAAAACAUUCUUCCUAAGUUUCUCCUUGAGCAAUGAAACGUGAGAAACUACAUGAGUCUGAGAACUAGCAGGUAACUCCAAUUAUAAGCUAUAGCUCUAAUAAUUUUCAUAUUUUCAUAGGGUCCAUAAUUCCUCGGUGCAAGCUUUAGAUUGGCUUGUAACAACACUAAGUUGCCUUUAUGGCUACAAUCACAAAUACAUCCAAUCCAUAGCUUAUUAUUCCUUUUCUUGGUGGUGCUUAUUAUACACCCUUUCCAUAUGAAUAUGAGAAUCUUUGAGACUGGUCUUAAGGGUUGUGAGGAGUUGAUCCUGGUUCAAUAGUUCUUGUUCCACUGCCUUUACGCAUACCGUGCCAGUGACAUAAGUGAGAAAAUUGGGAGGUGGUUGGCCAUAUACCACUUCGAAGGAUGUUAUGGUAGUGCUCUACAUAAGUCAGCCAUUUUGCCCAGUCCUCGGGUUGAUAACUAGUGAAAUAUUUCAAUUACAUUUUUUAUGUCUUAUUAACAACCUCUUUUCAUCCAUUGGUUUGUAGAUGGUUAGUAGAGCUGAAGUUAAAAUCAGUCCUGUUCAAAUAAAACAGUUUAGUCCAACACAAGCUUGUAAAGGUAAGAUCGUGAUCACCAACAAUAAUGUGGGGUAUUGCAUGGAGCUUAAAUAUAUGAUCACCAACGUACAUGCUUCGGUUGUUUGGGAUCGAUUGGGUCAUGCCAGGUUCAGUAGUGGACUUAUUAUUUUGUUGGUAUCAUUGGCUUGGGAAGCGUAGCUUUGAUAUUUGGAAUUUGGUUCCAGGUUAUUUAAUGUGGACUAUUUGGACUGAACAAAAUUAGCGUUCUUUUGAGGAUAAGGGAAAAUUGUGGUUUAGUUAUUAGAUUUAUGCCAACGGACCCUCUUUAAUUGGUCUCGGCGUUGGGGUCUCUCAGAUUGUUUUACCCUUAUGGAUUUCCUUUCUUCUAUUACAAUAGCUUAGUGGCUGCUUGUUUAUUACCAUGAACUCUUUGUUUUUUCAUGCUAUUCCUUUAUUAAUAAUAUCUUCUUCUUACUUAUCAAAAAAAAAAAAUGAUCAAAGAAAUUUGACCGUCUUAUCAAAAUAAAAAAAUUAAAAAAAGGGAAGAAAUUUGACCCUGUAGCCAUUUAAGGAUCGCUAAUGCAGAUAAAUGAGCAUACUUUGAUAGUCUAUCGUCUAUCCACUACUACCAAGAUAGUGGACUUACCUUUGGAUAUGGGUAGACCAUCAAUAAAAUCCAUGGAGAUAUCUUCCCAUACCUAAGUAGGAGUUGGUAAUGGUUGAAAAGACCUACUGGGUUGAGUUGCUCCACCUUAUGCUAUUGAUAAAUUGCUUACUGCCGUAUGUAGUCUUUGACAUGUUCUCUUAUGUAUUUCCUAUAAAAUUUGGACCUAACAUGGUGUAGUGUUUUUGAUAGCCUUUGUAAGUGCUUACAUGAAACUGCCUGAUGAUGUCUUGGAUUAGAGAUGAUUCGUGUUUAAGAUUGAUCUUUUCCUUAAAGAAUAAAACUCCAUUUUUUAUACUCACAAAGGCCCGCAGCUUCACCUUCUUGAGUGAGGUGAACUAGCUUCUUUAGAUUGGGGUUGGAAGAAUUUUCUUCUUUAAUGGUGUCCAACCAGCUAGGAGUUGGAUGAGAUAAGGUUGCUAGCUCCGCAAUGUCUCCCUCCUGUCUUUGUGACAAGUCAUUCAUUCACACCCUUAUUCUCACUCUCUUUUUUAUAAUUAUUAGUAAAAUCAAACCUCACUAGCUACAUCCAUGUUUGCUGUGCAUGGUUGGCAAUCCUUUGCGUCUAUAGAUAUUUGAGGAUCUUUUGAUCCAUUCAGAUUAUAAAUUAUCGUCCCAAUAAGUAGGGAGGCCAUUUUUGUACAUCUAACACUAAGGUAAGGAGUUCCAUCUCAUAUGUUGACAUCAACAGAUGUUUUUCACUAAGAGCAUGACCAAAAAGGCUAUGGGUUGCUCUUGCAUUAAGACAGACCCUAUCGCAGACCUAGAUGUGUCACAUUUUACAAUGAACUUUUUGUUGAAAUUAGGUAAGGCAAGAACAGGUGUUGUAGUCAUGGCCUCUAUGAGUUGUUGGAAAGCUUGAUCAGCCGCAAGACUUCAUGUAAAUGAAUUUUUUAUUAUAGAAUUUUGUUUAAUGGAGCUGUGAUCUUGCCAUAAUUUUGGAUAAACUUCUGAUGGUAGCCCUUCAACCCAAGGAACCCUUACACGGUGGUAGUAGUUUUAGGUAUUGGCCAUUCUAACAUGGCCGAGACAUUUUGAGGGCUGACAGCUACUCCUCUUGAAAUGAUAUGUCCCUAGUAUUUCACUUCAGUCCACACAAAUUGACAUUUCUUCUUCUUAACUAACAGUUGAUGUGACUAAAGAAAGGUGAAAGUUUUUCUUUUAAAUGAGCUAAAAUGGUCAUUCCUUGAUUUACUAAAAGCUAUUGUGUUGUCAAAGAAACUUAGGAUGAAUCUGUUUAAGUGUGCUUAAAAUACUUCAUCCGUGAGGGCUUGGAAAGUGGAGGGUACAUCAGUGAGGCCAAAGGCGUCACUAGGAACUCGAAAUGCCUAUGCUAAAUUUUAAAAGCUGUUUUUGGAACAUUGUCUAGACAAAAACACGACCUGGAUGGUACUCACUUUAUGGACCAGAGCUUUGAAGAAUGUUGUGUCCAAUGCAAUUCAUCAACUUAUUAAUGAUUGGAAUGAGAAAUUUGUCUUUGAUGGUUAGCUUGUUCAAUGAUCUGUAAUCCACACACAUACACCAUGAGCCGUCAUGUUUUUCAAUGAGGAUUACUGGUGACAAGUUGGGGCUAUUACUGAGUUUGAUUAUGCCAGAAGUCAGCAUCUCCUUUACUAGAUGCUUGAUCUCGGUCUUCUGCCAAUAUGGGUACCAGUACGGCUGCACAUUUACUGGUCCACUGCCAGGUUGCAUGGAAAUUUUAUGAUCAUGACUUUUGGGAGGGGGUUAGGGCACUUGGAGCUUGAGGCAACCUGGAACUUUUCCAAUAACAGAUGUAAUCCUCAGCAAACUGGAGGGGGAAGAAUUUUGAGGACUGCCCUCUAUUUGAAGCAAAACCCCAUGCCUCUAAUUUUCCGUAACCUAGCAGAGGUGCAGUUCCUUCACAAUUCUGUCUACUACUUGAGAUUAUCCUUUUAGUACAAUCUCUCUUCCAUUGAUGUUGAACUUCAUCCACAGUCUUGAAAAGUCUCACAAAAUCUCACCUAUAGAUUGUAGCCACUUUAGUCUCAAGACUAUGUUUUAGCCUUCUAAGGGAAGAAUAAAGAAAUCUACAUGGGUAGUAAAUCCAUAUAAUUUUAAUGGCACACAUUAAGAAAUCUGCAUGGGUAAUAAAACCAUGAAAUUUUAACAGCACACACUUCCACUGACCUUCACUUUUCAAUUCCUCCUUGGAAGCUACCAGUACCUUAAGCCUUCCUUUUGUGUUUGGUGUCAAUUUGGUUUUAUUGGCCAAAUUCUCACUCACAAAGUUCUGAGUGCUGCUAGAAUCAACCAAACACCAAGGGUGUCAUGUGCUUGUGUUGUCCUUGAAACUGCAUGAUGUUUGGUGCAAGAGCUCCACUUAUUGUGUGAAGAGAAAUCCCAGGCACCACCUCUUCACUUCCCAUCUCAAUUUCCAUAUCCACCUCUUGAUUGUCUUCCUUGGAACAUGCUUCAAUCAAGAACAACCUUUUGCCUAGGUGGCUUGGGUUAUACUUUCAUUGCAGUUGAAACAUAGCCCUUUCUCCCUUAUUUCCUGCAACUUGAUGAAAAUCAUUCGCCUUAUGGGCAGGGUUGGUCAUGCGGACGGACCUCCUUUUUCUUGAGUGGCAUUAGUUGUCACAAUGGUUUGGAAAUUCUAUCAUUGAGACAUGUUUGUAGCCUCAUGUAACCUGGCCAACCCAAUGACUUGGGUUAACGUGGUAGGCCUUCCUGCGAGAAUGUCUACUUCAAUGGUGUUCUUCAGUCCAUUGGUAAAACAGCUCACCUGCUGUCCUUGUGGGGAGAUGGACAAAUUUAGCCAACAGUUUUUAGAAGUUUGAUAGUCCUUGAUUGUGCCACUAUGCUUCAAUUUGGUUAACUAUCCAAAAUAAUCUACAUAUUGUGUUGGAUUGUAACUGAGAGGUCCAUCUUUAAAUCCACCCUAAGAAAUCGUACCCAUAUCUUGUUUAAUCAUUUGAAACUGAAGUUGAGCACCCCCUUCUAAAUGAAAGGAUACUAGAGCAACUUGGUCUUCAAUGGCAUGGAGCUGUAAGAACUGCUUUGCUCAACAAAGCAGACUUGUGGGGUCUUCCUCGCCAUUGAAGCAAAGGAAGUAGAUUUUAGCCAUUUUGGGGACAUAAGAAUGUUGUGUCACCUGUCUUGUUGCUUUGUCUGAUUCUUGCUUACUGUUUCCACAUCGUGUUCUGGAACAAGAGCUUUCCCCUUCUUCAUGGUGGAUAGACAGUGUUAAUCUUAGGAAAAAGCUUUGAUAUGCACUCGAGAAUCUGUUGUUGACCAGUAAACAAAUAGCUCACAGUGUGAUUAAGUGCUCCACCUUUGGUCCAUACCCAAGCAGCUCUUAUGCAUUGUACAAUGGAUUGUUGUUCCCUCUUUUGACAGAUGGUAGAUAAUAUUGAACAAAUAUCUGCGCUACUCUACUUUAAGGGAGCUUGAUUUUAUUAAUGCUUGAUAUUAUGCAGCUUUUCCAAUGUUCACAUAAUGUUUACAUAUUGAAAAAUCUGAAACAAACUCAACUACUAAUCUUAAAAGAAAGGAACAGAUAACAAUAGAAAUUUAACAUAACUCAAAAGUCUAAUUGUUCUGCAUUAAAUCAGUAAAGGCUCCAACUGAAACACAUAACAUUUGUCCCUCUGCAUAGUGUUCUGGAAACUGCACUCUAAAGUUUCUUUGCAUUCCUUUUAUGACAUGUCUGUCAUAUUGAACUGAAACAGCUUUUUAAGUCGCUGCUCUAACUAGAUUGUAGGUAACCAUAAAUAUGCUUAAUGUAUAUCAAUCCUGGUUUGUUGGGCCACAAUAGGUUCAUGUAGUAUGUGGACUGGAUCGGGCCUAAGUCAAUAGACCUAGCCGAAGUUGAAGUGACUUCAUUAGUUACUGACAUCCAGCAGGGAUAGUGGAAUUCUUCCAUCUUAACAUGUGUCCGACCAGUCUAAUCUGAAUAUCUGAUGCUUACAUGUAACAAUGAUAACAUCCACUUUGCCAAAGUGGCCUUUUAACACAUUAUUUCUUAAGGAAAUGUGAAGAUGUAUUCAGUCCGGGGAUAACUCGGAGAGGUCUGCUGGCAAAGGCAUGUCCUCCACAUUCCAUUUGUCCUUCACUGAUUUGAUGAUCGCAGUCUGGUCAAUAGUCUAUGAUGAGUGGUGUUGUUUGUUGUCCAGGAACAGCUUUGUUUUCUGAAGAGGACUAUUUAUGACAUAAACUGUCCACAGAGAAUUACAAACAUAAAGCUGUUUUAAACACUGACUUAUGCCCACACACAGUUAAAUAUGUUUGCAUUUGAAGUUAUACCACGAGGAUAACUAUAUACUAUUACUAAUAAGUUAGAAAAUUAAUGUUUGUGAUAAUUCACCAAAAUUCUUGAGCACCCAGGAUUAUCUCUCUACUAAUUUGAUUGUCUAUUUUGUCAUUUAAAAUGUCAUUUAGUAGUUGAAGUGUGACUUGUCCAAUUUGUCUGUGACAGUCUCUAUUAAAAUAAUCAGCUGAUCGACCCUGGUUAUAGGUGCAGAUGCUUCAAUGUAAUGAGAGAGAGAGAGAGAGAGAGAGAGAGAGAGAGGUUCAACCAAGAUGAUGCCUUCAAAAAUAUAUGAUCGAAAUGAUAUCUUCAAUAUGAGAAGUAUAUGAUCCAAGCUGACACAUCAUCCAUACAUGAUAAAUGUUACUGUAAAGAAAUCAUAGUGGUAGACUGGUAGCUAGGGACAUGAUAUGGAGGGUUCAAGUAAAACCAGUCAAACAGAAGCAGUCAAAAAAGGCUUUCGAAAAUAAAGAAUAAACUAGAGAAAGGAUUCCUUAUCCUAGUUUAUGGUAGGGAAAAAUGUGCUAAGAAAAGCUAAUGGUGGUCUUUCAGAUGCAUCGUCCCAGUCCUUAAAAAACUCAGCAGCUGCCACAUGGUUUAUCCCUGUAGUUAAUUACCUUGUUUUUAAUGAUGUAAAAGGGCACCAAGCAUGACCUUUGUAGGUUCCUUUAUGGAAGUAGUUAAAACUUACUUGAUGGGGAUGAGAAAGAAUCUGAAUGGAUAAACAGUUAUACACACCAGGAGAAAUUUUAUAGGCUCUCUUUCUCGGAAAGUGAUUUUUUGAAGGGACAGAUAAGAAUCUAAUUUGACAGUUAAAAACUUGAUGGGUCAAUAAAAGAAGCUAUGAAACACACUAGUAGGAAUCAGAGAGAGGGUGGGUGGUGGGGUAGCUGCAGUUAAAAGCUAAUGAUUUAGUGUAAUCCACAAUAAUAUUUAAGUUAAUAAAUAAGAGAGUAAAACAAGAUCUAGCUGUACUUAAAGCCUUAAAGGUAAGGAUUUGGUGUAAUCCACCAAAUUUGAACUGUUGAAUGAGAUUCUAAAACCUGUGUAUUGUGUAUUUGAGAGAGAUGAGUAGAGGCCAAUGGGCUGUAACCCAAAUGGCACUUCCAACACCCCUAGAAACGGGAUGGUGGAUAUGAUGUUGCAGGUUCUAAUCCUUCAUGGUGCGUGAGUUAGAUAACUAGAAUAAUGGUUUUGUAUAAUCCAGGAAAGGAAAGCUAUUAUGUGGGCUUCUAAUACAAUCUUUGGUACAUGAAAGAUGGUAAUAAUAAAUAAAGUGUCUUCCCAUUGAAAAGUAAAUGGAAUAAACCAUUUCCUAGUGCCUAAUAAAAAUGGAUUUGCUCAACUAUGUUUCUGUAACAUUUGAAGGCACAAAUUCAUGAGUGGAAAUGAAAAUAGGUAAAAUUUGGAAGCAUGGCUUUUGAAAUUUAUGCGUCAAUUAUAGAAUCUACAACAUAGCUUUUCUAAGUCUGAAAUAGGCAGAUUAGCAGUGAACACAUCCAUGAUCUUAAGUUCUAAACAUCCUAAAUUGGUUUUUAGAGUAAUUUGCAGACCUUUAAAGAAACAUGUAACGUCAAAGAAAAAUUUUAUUCAUGUAUUUACAUAUUCCCUUGGGAAAAAUAUAGAAUACUUUGAGAGUACCAUCUGUGUGUGUGUGUGUGUAUUUAUUACAAUAAACAAAUCCUUUGGAAGCACUUAGCUGGGUAUUUCGAGAUAUGUUUAGGGCAUGCUUAGUCAGAGACACAUUGAUUAUUAUGAUGCUUAUAUACCAUCUUGCCUUGACAUUUAACUCAUUAAAGCAUCAGCAUGCAUUUGAAUUUGAGAAUAAAAUCCUGUGGUCCUUGGAAGGUUAUGAAAAUUGCAUUAUCUUCAAUUCUUCAUGAUAGUUUUGGAAAGCAUGCUGUGAAGAUGUAAUUGUUCUACCUUCCCCACUUAAAUUAUAUUGCUAGUAAAUUGUCUUGCCAGCUCAGUAUCACCUAGAAAGCACAUAAGAAGCAUACAGUGCUCCUUUUUUCUACCGUUAUUCGAGGGUGUUUAUAUACAUGCUGUGACUUAGUAUAGGGCUAUCAUUACGAUUUUAAGAAGGAAAAUGCCAAAGCUACUCUACUAACUUUACUACAAAAAGCUUACAAAUUGAACUGGUAAUGAAUUGGUGCCACAUUAACUAUAUAUUAGAUAAAUUUCUUAAUUACCUUUUGCUUUGUGAUUUAAAAGUUGACGUAUCAAUUUGUAAGAUUUAUGCAGUAAAAACUGUAAUAAUUGUAGCGUCACUCUUUUAAGAAUAUAUGUGACUUUGGAUGCUGCAUAUGCUGUAAUGCUUAUCCUGUGAAAGGCAGCCCACAGACUAAUUAUACUCCAGAUGAGUUAAAUGAAAGGUUUGGAAAAAAAAAAAAAUAUAGAUGCUUAGCUAAAAAGUAGAUGAUUGUGGGUUGAAUUUUUCUGAAGUUGAUUCCUGCUGUCAUAUUCUGAUCUCUAAAUAGGGAUUUGUUCUGGUUUAUAAAAAGAAAACAUUUUGAUCCUGGUUUGAGCUUCGAUCCUUCAGAAAACUUGAGUAUUACUAUGGCUAUCUCAUAGGAUAUGAGGAUAUCCAGCAAUGAUUCCUCACUUCAGACAGUACACAACUACGACCAUAGUAAGGUAUCAUUCAGAUUUAUGGAAUGCAGGUUUUCUGAAUCAUCUUCAAUCAACCUUCAACAUCCGUCUACAAUAAAUAGUAUACUUUCUGGUGCUCUUUAAUGUUGUAUCACUUUUUGAUACUGUUGUUUUAUUGUGUCUCACACAAGGGAGGCAAUGUCACUUGAGCAUCAAUAAUGCCCACUUGCCCAGUAGUGUUCCAGUUUCUCCAAGAAUAUUUUAAGGUUUCUCAGUAAAAUGUCCCUACUAAUAUUCACAUGGUACCAUGAUUUUGAUGAGAAUAAGGAUUAGGUUCAUGAUUAAUCAAAAUUUUAGACAAAUUAAAUAAAAAUUAUA